rnacentral:rRNA from 1 species
AUUGAACGCUGGCGGCAGGCCUAACACAUGCAAGUCGAGCGAGCGGCGGACGGGUGAGUAAUGUAUGGGGACUGCCCGAUAGAGGGGGAUCACUACUGGAAACGGUGGCUAAUACCGCAUACCGUCGGAUAACCCAUAUGGGAUUGGAUAGUAGGUAAGGUAAUGGCUUACCUAGGCGACGAUCCCUAGCUGGUCUGAGAGGAUGAUCAGCCACACUGGGACUGAGACACGGCGCAGACUCCGACGGAGGCAGCAGUGGGGAAUAUUGCACAAUGGGCGAAAGCCUGAUGCAGCGAUGCCGCGUGUAUGAAGAAGGCCCUAGGGUUGUAAAGUACGUUCAGUCGGGAGGCGUUACCGACAGAAGAAGCACCGGCUAACUCCGUGCCAGCAGCCGCGGUAAUUC